rnacentral:rRNA from 1 species
UACAGAGGGGGCAAGCGUUAUUCGGAAUUAUUGGGCGUAAAGGGCUCGUAGGCGGUUUGUCGCGUCGGGAGUGAAAACUCAGGGCUCAACUCUGAGCGUGCUUCCGAUACGGGGCAGACUAGAGGUAUUCAGGGGAGAACGGAAUUCCCGGUGUAGCGGUGAAAUGCGUAGAGAUCGGGAGGAACACCAGAGGCGAAGGCGGCGACCUGGACAAGUACUGACACUCAACUGCGAAAGCGUGGGGAGCAACAGG